CGGCGUGCCUAAUACAUGCAAGUCGAACGCACUCUCGUUUAGAUUGAAGGAGCUUGCUCCUGAUUGAUAACAUUUGAGUGAGUGGCGGACGGGUGAGUAACACGUGGGUAACCUGCCCUAAAGUGGGGGAUAACAUUUGGAAACAGAUGCUAAUACCGCAUAAAACCUAACACCGCAUGGUGUAGGGUUGAAAGAUGGUUUCGGCUAUCACUUUAGGAUGGACCCGCGGUGCAUUAGUUAGUUGGUGAGGUAAAGGCUCACCAAGACCGUGAUGCAUAGCCGACCUGAGAGGGUAAUCGGCCACACUGGGACUGAGACACGGCCCAGACUCCUACGGGAGGCAGCAGUAGGGAAUCUUCCACAAUGGACGAAAGUCUGAUGGAGCAACGCCGCGUGAGUGAAGAAGGUUUUCGGAUCGUAAACUCUGUUGUUGGAGAAGAAUGUAUCUGAUAGUAACUGAUCAGGUAGUGACGGUAUCCAACCAGAAAGCCACGGCUAACUACGUG
rnacentral:rRNA from 1 species